UACGUAGGGGGCUAGCGUUGACCGGAAUCAUUGGGCGUAAAGCGCGUGUAGGCGGUCCGGUAAGUCCGCUGUGAAAGUCGGGGGCUCAACCCUCGAAUGCCGGUGGAUACUGUCGGGCUAGAGUGCGGAAGAGGCGAGUGGAAUUCCUGGUGUAGCGGUGAAAUGCGCAGAUAUCAGGAGGAACACCAAUUGCGAAGGCAGCUCGCUGGGACGUUACUGACGCUGAGACGCGAAAGCGUGGGGAGCAAACAGG
rnacentral:rRNA from 1 species